rnacentral:rRNA from 1 species
UACAGAGGGUGCGAGCGUUGUUCGGAAUACUGGGCGUAAAGCGCGCGCAGGCGGCCUUUUUAAGUCUGACGGUGAAAUGCCGGGGCUCAACCCCGUGCCCCGCCGCGGAUACUGGGAGGCUGGAGACACGUAGAGGCAAGCGGAAUUCCGGGUGUAGCGGUGGAAUGCGUAGAUAUCUGGAGGAACACCGGUGGCGAAGGCGGCGUUCUGGGACUGCAACUGACACUGAGGAACGAAAGCCAGGGGAGCAAACGGGG